GGCAAAGUACAAUCUGGCAAAGAGUGUGUAAGGUGCGGGUUUAAAUACUGGCAGAAGCUAAGCUAACGAGUGGGUGUGGAAAACAGGUGAGACAGGUGAAUGGAAAACUACUGGUGAAUGAUGGAGCAGACUAUGACAGCAUGAGAGUUUUCAGCGCCUGUUUAACAUCUGAAGCGCUGUCUGUCUCCGCUGAGGCUUGCCAGUUUGGCUCCGUCAACGAUGUGUUGUGUGUGUUUGGCUUCAUGCUGGCGUAACACUAAAAUGAAGUGAAACAAAUUGUGAAGAGACGACUAGGCAUGCCAGGGCUAAAGAUACUGGAAUCCACCCAGGCGGACCGAAUGCUUUCUGACAUACAGAUCCAGCAGAGAGCAGCUGUCAGACCGUGUGACAGCUCUAUACCUCGAUGCCAGCGGUGAGACAGGUUUCCACAGGAAGCCUGGAGAGAGCUGCAGGCUAACGCUCAACAGCAGCAGUCGACACCGAACUGUGGACCUCUUUGUUCCUGCUAUGGAGUCUCGGGAAACUAUGGGAGAGUCUAAGCUCAGCGUCGCCUGCAGCCACUCAUCUGAGAACAGAGAGGGAGCGAAUGAGGGAAUGAGCUCCAAAGUGGAGGAGGAUGUGUAGGAACAAGUGUUUGUGCCAGGAGGCGCCACGAGCCUUUGAAUAUAAGAGCAGGUUCAUCUUAUAUGUUCUUUUAGUCUUUAUUAUUUACCUACUUUUAUAUUGUUUUAUUUAUUUUAUAGAUUUUAAAGGAUUUUAUCUUGUUUUAUUAAUCUAACACGCUUCAAUAGCAAUAUUUAUUUUUACGUUGGUCUUUUUUAUUUCUUAAUCGUUUCACCUUUAUUAGAAUGAUGGCCUUUUUAUUACUAUUAUCUUUUUAUUUGUAUUUCUGUUUAACCUAUUUGCUCACUUUGUUUUAUGGGGUUUUAUAUUGUUGCAUCGACUCAGUGUCUUACCUGUCAGAGAGAAACCAUUAUUUAAUCUAUUUGUAUUAUCAUACCUUUUAUCUCCUUGUGUCCGUUAACCUGAUAAAAUGUUAUAUUUUGCUGCUUGUACCUUUUAAAGUUCUUGUUGUUUAUUUUUAACUUGUGAUGUGUCCUUUUGGAAAUCACUUUGAG